rnacentral:rRNA from 1 species
UACAGAGGUCCCGAGCGUUGUUCGGAUUCAUUGGGCGUAAAGGGUGCGUAGGCGGUUUUUUAAGUUUGAUGUGAAAUCCCGGGGCUCAACCCUGGAAUUGCAUUGAAUACUGAAGAACUAGAGAUCUGGAGAGGAAACUGGAAUUUACGGUGUAGCAGUGAAAUGCGUAGAUAUCAAGCGGAACACCGGUGGCGAAGGCGGCCUUCUGGACAGUGACUGACGCUGAGACGCGAAAGCGUGGGGAGCAAACAGG